CAGCCAGGAGGGAAAACCUGAAUGCUUAUGAGGGAGUGGGCGUAUUAGUGAAGGCUGGACUAACGAGGAUUGAAAACACUGUGAAACAAAAAGAAAAGGCUUCUUGCAGUCAGAUUGCAGUUCCGGCCUCCUGAUCAUCCGCUCAAGAAAAAAUUGUUGUCAUGGCUGGCUGAAGGACUGGACCAAGGUGCAGCAUGGCACACUGUCUUUAUACGAUCAGCCAUAGAUACCACCAGACACCCAAAGUCCAUUUCUCAGUUCCUAUGACCUCUUGUAAGCGCCGUUGAUGUCUUGAUAGCAUUUGAUCAACAUGUCCUUGAGAAGUGUAACCCUGCUUGGAAAGAAGGUGCAACACCCAUGUGUCCUGAUUCAACAGGUGAGUCAUGUAUAGCUUCUCCCAUUUCUCUCUAACUCAUUCUCCAUGUCGUUCACUCAAACUCACGUGUGCACAUUUGCAGAGAAGAGGAAGAGAUUAGCCAAUUACAGUCAUUUCUAACAAUGAUUGUUGCAGGAAUGAUAUGACAAACAUCACCUUUGAAAAAGACAAUAUUUGAUUGUCUCUUUAAUGCCUCUUUACACAUACUUAUAUUUUUGCAUUUACUUUUCUUGGGGGAUUCUCUGUCCGGGACAAUGUCCUC